rnacentral:rRNA from 1 species
GAUGAACGCUAGCGGCAGGCUUAAUACAUGCAAGUCGAGGGGUAGCAAGAUUGUAGCAAUACAAUUGUUGACGACCGGCAAACGGGUGCGGAACACGUACACAACCUUCCUACAAGUGGGGAAUAGCCCAGAGAAAUUUGGAUAAAUACCCCGUAACAUAGCGAUGUGGCCUCACAUUGCUAUUAUAGCUUCGGCGAUUGUUGAUGGGUGAGCGGCUGAUUAGAUAGUUGGCGGGGUAACGGCCCACCAAGUCUACGAUCAGUAGCUGAUGUGAGAGCAUGAGCAGCCACACGGGCACUGAGACACGGGCCCGGCUCCUACGGGAGGCAGCAGUAGGGAAUAUUGGACAAUGGACGCAAGUCUGAUCCAGCCAUGCCGCGUGAAGGAUUAAGGUCCUCUGGAUUGUAAACUUCUUUUAUAAGGGACGAAAAAAGGUCUUUCUAGAUCGUCUGACGAUACCUUAGAAAUAAGCACCGGCUAACUCCGUGCCAGCCGCCCGCCGUAACAC